rnacentral:rRNA from 1 species
GAUGAACGCUGGCGGCGUGCCUAAUACAUGCAAGUCGAGCGAACAGAUGAGGAGCUUGCUCCUCUGACGUUAGCGGCGGACGGGUGAGUAACACGUGGAUAACCUACCUAUAAGACUGGGAUAACUUCGGGAAACCGGAGCUAAUACCGGAUAAUAUAUUGAACCGCAUGGUUCAAUAGUGAAAGACGGUUUUGCUGUCACUUAUAGAUGGAUCCGCGCCGCAUUAGCUAGUUGGUAAGGUAACGGCUUACCACGGCGACGAUGCGUAGCCGACCUGAGAGGGGGAUCGGCCACACUGGAACUGAGCCACGGUCCAGACUCCUACGGGAGGCAGCAGUAGGGAAUCUGCCGCAAUGGGCGAAAGCCUGACGGAGCAACGCCGCGUGAGUGAUGAAGGUCUUCGGAUCGUAAAACUCUGUUAUGAGGGAAGAACAAAUGUGUAAGUAACUAUGCACGUCUUGACGGUACCUAGUCAGAAAGCCACGGCUAACUACGUG